rnacentral:rRNA from 1 species
UAGGGAAUAUUGGUAAUCUGGGCAACCGGGAACCAGCAACGCCGCGUGCGCGAUGAAGGCCUUCGGGUUGUAAAGCGCUUUUUGAGAGGAUGAGGAAGGACAGUACUCUUAGAAUAAGCCUCGGCUAACUACGUGCCAGCAGCCGCGGUACAACGUAGGAGGCGAGCGUUAUCCGGAUUUACUGGGCGUAAAGCGUGUGUAGGCGGUUUGAAAAGUUGGAUGUGAAAGCUCCUGGCUUAACUGGGAGAGGUCGUUCAAAACUAUCAGACUUGAGAGUGGUAGAGGGAGGUGGAAGUCCGAAUGUAGUGGUGAAAUGCGUAGAUAUGCGGAGGAACACCAGUGGCGAAAGCGGCCUCCUGGCCCAUUUCUGACGCUCAGACGCGAAAGCUAAGGUAGCAAACG